AGUCGUAACAAGGUCUCCGUUGGUGAACCAGCGGAGGGAUCAUUAGCGAGUUAUAAACUCCCAACCCUCGUGGACAUACCUAUUGUUGCUUCGGCGGCGCGCCGGCAUUCGCUGGCGCCGCCCUCCCCGCUUGCGGGGUUGGCACCCGCCGAAGGCACGCAACCAAAACCUGGCUUCAGCGUCGAAUUCUGAGUGGACUACUAAAUAAGUCAAAACUUUCAGCAACGGAUCUCUUGGUUCUGGCAUCGAUGAAGAACGCAGCGAAAUGCGAUAAGUAAUGUGAAUUGCAGAAUUCAGUGAAUCAUCGAAUCUUUGAACGCACAUUGCGCCCGCUAGUAUUCUGGCGGGCAUGCCUGUUCGAGCGUCCUUUGGGACCCUCGGGCCGGGGCGACAAGCCCCUGGCCCGGUGUUGGGUGGCCGCGGCAGCCGCGCCCCCCUAAAUACAGUGGCGGACCCCUUAGCGGCCCUGGCGCAGUACGCAUCUCGCCUUCGGCAGCUUGGUGGGCCCCGCCCCCCAGCAACUAAAAUUUUAAUAGCUGGACCUCGAAUCAGGUAGGAAUACCCGCUGAACUUAAGCAUAUCAAUAAGCGGAGGAAAAGAAACCAACAGGGAUUGCCCUAGUAACGGCGAGUGAAGCGGCAACAGCUCAAAUUUUAAAUCUGGCCUUGUGCCCGAGUUGUAAUUUGUAGAGGCCCGUUGGGCGCGGUAACUGCUGAGUCCCCUGGAAUGGGGCGCCACAGAGGGUGAGAGCCCCGUACGGCGGUAGUCCAAGCCCAUGUAUCGGUCCCUCGACGAGUCGAGUAGUUUGGGAAUGCUGCUCAAAAUGGGAGGUAAAUUUCUUCUAAAGCUAAAUAUUGGCCAGAGACCGAUAGCGCACAAGUAGAGUGAUCGAAAGAUGAAAAGCACUUUGAAAAGAGGGUUAAAAAGUACGUGAAAUUGCUGAAAGGGAAGCGCCUAUGACCAGACUUGCGCCCGGUUGAUCAUCCAGCGUUCUCGCUGGUGCACUCUGCCGGGCACAGGCCAGCAUCGGCUUCUGCGGGGGCAUAAAAGCUUCGGGGAUGUGGCUCCUCCGGGAGUGUUAUAACCCGUCGCCGAAUACCUUCGCGGGGGCCGAGGACCGCGCAUUGCAAGGAUGCUGGCGUAAUGGUCAUCAGCGACC
rnacentral:rRNA from 1 species